rnacentral:lncRNA from 10 species
AGAGGAGUAGGGAUUGAAAGGCCAAAUAUGUCUGAACAUCUAGGCAACCUGGGUCUCCAGCUCAUGAGAAAGAUAUCAAGACCUGGAUCCCAGUGAUGGAUACAUGAGACAAAGAUUAGGGAAUGCUGAAGAUGUGUUCCCAUGAGUUCCUGCCUCCUUGUACCCCACUGAGUGGAAUGUUAAAAAUACGGAGAAAGCAAUUUCUACAGAUGCAGUCCCACCUCUGGCCAUGGCCAAAAUUAGCUGGAUAAUUCUUUGAAUCUGGCUAAUGUGGAAUCUUGCAAGGACAAAGAGGAUUUGCUCACGAACUGGAGCUAACUUCCUCUUAUAGUCUAUCCUCUGUGGAUUUGUGAGUCCACACAUUUUUACCUGUACAUGAACUUGGCUAUGAAUGUGCCUUGCCAAGGAUUACACUUGUUCAUCAUCACCAUGAGAGACAUUCCAGGGAGAUGAACGUGGUGGGAUGCAGGAAAGAAACACCUUCCUGGUAGAUGAUGGCAAAAUACAAUAGUAAGCAAGGGAAGAAUUAUCAUACCAAAUCAAUGAGGAUAUUUGCUGCCAAAGGCUUAGGCAUGGAGGCCAACUGGAUUCUCAUCCAUGACCCUGAUAGGACAUCCUGAACCCCAUUUAUGUUGUUUUAAGAGUGAUUCCAUAACCUCAAGAGGGCUCUACUUCCCACUGGAGCCCAGAAGAAGCAGCAAGAAGAUGGCACAAAGACAGAGUCCUCCACUAGUGAGCCUCUUUAUCUUCCUUCUACAGAAACUCUGCAGAAACAGCAACUCAGGCUGUCCCUUAAGCAGCUUCAUUGUCAAAGGCUCAAUAGAAUUCUCCUUCUGAACAAAGGGAGCUACAUUUCUUUAUCUGUCUAAUUAAUGCUUAGACUUAAAAAGAAUGUAUUCAGUCUGCAGCCUAGAGAGGAUGAGCUACCUGAAAUAAAAAAAGUAUUUUCCUUUGGAA